rnacentral:rRNA from 1 species
AUUGAACGCUGGCGGCAUGCCUUACACAUGCAAGUCGAACGGCAGCACGGGUGCUUGCACCUGGUGGCGAGUGGCGAACGGGUGAGUAAUAUAUCGGAACGUACCUUAUUGUGGGGGAUAACGCAGCGAAAGCUGUGCUAAUACCGCAUAAUCCCUAAGGGGGAAAGCGGGGGACCGUAAGGCCUCGCGCAACUAGAGCGGCCGAUACCUGAUUAGCUAGUUGGUGAGGUAAAGGCUCACCAAGGCAACGAUCAGUAGCUGGUCUGAGAGGACGAUCAGCCAGACUGGGGCUGGGACACGGCCCAGACUCCUACGGGAGGCAGCAGUGGGGAAUUUUGGACAAUGGGGGCAACCCUGAUCCAGCAAUGCCGCGUGAGUGAAGAAGGCCUUCGGGUUGUAAAGCUCUUUUGUCAGGGAAGAAACACCGGCUCUAACACAGUCCGGGAAUGACGGUACCUGAAGAAUAAGCACCGGCUAACUACGUGCCAGCCGCCGCCGUAA